UGCGAAUGAUGACACGUUUGUCCCUGAUCACACCUGAGGGUCAAAACUGAUUUAAUGAGCCUGAUGC